GUGAUCGUUUAGCCAAGAGAAGGUUAGCAUCUCCCUCGACAAGGACGAGAAAAACCUUCGGGUUUUACACAUGAGAUAUAGGCCUCCCAUGCCCGGCUCGCCGGCGUGGGUCUCAAUUCAAUUUUUC
rfam:Physcomitrella patens subsp. patens PHYPAscaffold_152 genomic scaffold, whole genome shotgun sequence.